ACAUAGAUGGUCAAGGGGUUUCUAUGACGCUAAUGAGAUUUUCCUAGAUGCGGGGUCAGUCACUGUAAAAGUUUAUCAGCAACAGUUUUUUUUUUGUUUUCUCUCUCUUCCAUUACUCUUUUUUCCUAAACAAUUAGGGUUUUCACAUCUACCAUCUUCAAGCUCCGGCGGCCAUCUCGUCCUCUUACGGCCGUCGGAGGCACCCUCGUGCCCCUUCACUUCUGAUCUUCUUCGUUUGUCUCUGUCUCUUCUUACGGUAGGAGGAGAGGUUCAGUUACGUUCAGAUCUGAAAACCUUGUUAGAUCUUUCAGCUUCUUGGUGGUUUGAAGAUGCGUGAGGACAGCUACCUUCUUCCUCCGGGCUCGCCUCUGAUCUCUUUGGUUCUCCGGUCAUUUUCUGUGUUCGUGGCUGUCCUCUCCCGAGUGUGACAUGGCAGGUGGCGUCGGCUAGUCUCUCCAGGCCCGUCUCUGCUUCAGGUGUGGCUGUGGCUGGAGGCUUGGUGUGGUUGUUGGUGUGCUAGGGAUCAGGGUCUAUCUUUGUGAUGGAUCUCUGUGUUGUUGUACUUUGCUUGGUUGUUUCAGGUCUCCUAGACGACGGCGCAUGGAGUGCGAUGGAGGUUGAGCCCUCAGCUCUGCUUCUUCUUUUUUUCUCUGGUGACGGACGCGUCCGGCGGUUUCUGUUCUCCGGUUUUCUGCUGUAAGUAGGUUUAGGAGCUGAUUAUGUGGUAGUUUGAUGGUGGGUUAGUCAGGCAACAGUCUAAUCUUCGGUUCAGUCAUAGGUUUUAUCGGAGGAUUUGUCCGCUUCCGGUCCGUUCUCCCUAUAAGGUUUUCUGGUUAAACGGGUGUAGACGGUCACGGUAGAGAAAGCUCGAGCCGGUAAUCUCAUGUUCUCUCUAACGAACGACGGCAUCAUCGGAAGUCGGUUUAUCCUCGUACCGCCGGUGUCUCUUUGACUGGACUGGCUUGCAGGUCCGUGAUGGUUUCUUGGAUUGGUUUGUGGUGGGUUUACUAUUUGGAAGAUGUAGGAGCCGUGCUUCUGGGGUUUGAGAGCACCAUAUCUCUCGGUAUCUCGUGGUAACUGAGUUGUCUUUUAUGCUCUCUCUGGUGUUUUUGGUCUGUCAUCAUUUUGUUAGCUCGUCUUCAUCCCUUGAUCAGGCUGCUCUUAUUUCGUGUUCUUUGCUUAGCUAUUGUGCACUGUUGCUUCUUGUUUAGUUACUUUUCAUCCGUUUC